rnacentral:rRNA from 1 species
GAUGAACGCUGGCGGCGUGCCUAAUACAUGCAAGUCGAGCGAACAGACGAGGAGCUUGCUCCUCUGACGUUAGCGGCGGACGGGUGAGUAACACGUGGAUAACCUACCUAUAAGACUGGGAUAACUUCGGGAAACCGGAGCUAAUACCGGAUAAUAUAUUGAACCGCAUGGUUCAAUAGUGAAAGACGGUUUUGCUGUCACUUAUAGAUGGAUCCGCGCCGCAUUAGCUAGUUGGUAAGGUAACGGCUUACCAAGGCAACGAUGCGUAGCCGACCUGAGAGGGUGAUCGGCCACACUGGAACUGAGACACGGUCCAGACUCCUACGGGAGGCAGCAGUAGGGAAUCUUCCGCAAAGGGCGAAAGCUUGACGGAGCAACGCCGCGUGAGUGAUGAAGGUCUUCGGAUCGUAAAACUCUGUUAUUAGGGAAGAACAAAUGUGUAAGUAACUAUGCACGUCUUGACGGUACCUAAUCAGAAGGCCACGGCUAACUACGUG